AUUAAGUUCAGUUAUAAUUAUAUUUUGUGUCUUAUAUUAGAGCAAACGUUUCCAUUAUACAGUAUGUGAUAAGGAUCAUUAAAAGAUUAUAUUUAUACCAGACACAGUAUAAAUGUUUGUUCAGCUAAAACUUUUCUUAUGUAAUUUUUUUUAUUGCAGUCCACGUUUUUUCUAUAAAACUAAAGCAAGAGAGAAUAUGCUGUGCGUGUUGCUGUUCUUGUGUACUCCCCGUUAGAUAAAACUCAAGCAUUCUAAUAAAUAAAUAGCUUGCAUGUGUUAUUUCGUGAAUAGCCGCUAGAAAAAAAACAACUGUUUAAAUCUUUUUAUCCUCCAAUUCAACAUUUGUCAUUUUUAAUUUACAUGUUUUUCUCGUAAGCUACCGUCAAAUCCAAAGUUGACAUUUCAACUACGGAGCCCCCAUGUUCUUGCAGUAUAAUAAUGAAAACAACACGUUUAUAUACUGAACGACUUUAAAAACGCAACACUAAUUUUUGUUGAUUUUUUUUAACCAAAUCAUGUUUGAUUCUCUUACAACUACUUUUCAUCCUUAUCAUACUUCUUUAUCGUUACAAAAAAUCAAAAUCUGACUUACCUGUGGUUUUCAAUCAUACCGAAUUUUUGAAGUCGCACGAAUUUCUUAAUGCGAAAUGUCGGACCCAUGAAAGAUUGUUUCAGUUUUGUUUUUUUGAUUUGAGAAACAGUUCUUUCAAUCCUUUGCCUCACUUAAAUCAGUUCAAAAAUGUUACAUCUCCAUAUUGCCAAGACUAUGCAAAAAAAAAUGAAUUAGCCCUUAAGAAUACUGCAAUCAUGAACACAUAAACGUGGUGCAACCAUACUGUAUGACUUCAGAAACUCGUCUUACUGUCCUUCCAACAACGAUACAAGUAGACAAGAUUUGUUGCUGGCCAUCAAUGAACGGAUUUACGUGUAGUGAAAAUAAUAGGUCAACAGAAUUUGAUUACGCAACGUCAUUUUGUCAGACAUGUUUGCGGCCGUAACGUUAACUGCUAAUCAAAUUGACGAGUGCCAUUGUGUACAGAUUCAUGCCAUAAAUGUUUCUAAUCAACUGAAUUGUUAAAGAAUCGACUGAGGAAAAACCUUUAAAGCCCUCAAGUUCCAACCGCAUAAUUGCCAUAACCAAUAAAUGGGUUGAACAAAUGCAAAAUCAGAAAGUGUAAAACAGAACCCAAAACUUGUCAGACAGAAUUUGUUAACCUUUCUGAAACUCAUUUUGACGUUUGUAACAUGCAAUUAUUAUUGCUUUUCACGGUGACACAUUCGUUCAAAAAUAACAAUAAAUUAGUCUAAUGUUGGGUUUCUAAAGCCGUCAGUAUAUAUGGGAAUAAUACAAUACAAUAGAAAAGUAAACAAAAACCUACCUCAAAAUCAAUUUAAAUAUAGUAUUGUACGAAUUUUGAUUGUUCAUGUAACAGAAAACUUUCAACUCUAGCGUUUUCAUCUGUAUGACGUCAUGUUUUGAAAUGACUUAAAUGCGCCAAAAUCAGUAAUAGACUUUCGCGGAAUAUUGAUUUAUUUUGAUUUUGUUGAUUUCUUCGAUCUCUAGUGCAUUGAUUCUUUUUUUAUUAUGCAUCCGAAUGAAAAUACAAGUUACUUAUCUUAUUUUUUAAAUGCAAGUUUUAAAACAAUAAAAAUGGGCAAAGGAUUUGUAAAAAGGUUCCAGUACAUGUGGAUUAACGUGGGAAGUGUUUUUACC
rnacentral:lncRNA from 1 species